GCCAUCCAGUAUGGUGGUUAUCAUCCUCGGCUUGUGACCGAGCGGGUUCGGGUUCGAAUCCCGAGUAAAGCA